UACGUAGGGGGCAAGCGUUGUCCGGAAUCAUUGGGCGUAAAGAGCGUGUAGGCGGCCCGAUAAGUCCGCUGUGAAAGUCCAGGGCUCAACCCUGGAAUGCCGGUGGAUACUGUCGGGCUCGAAUCCGGAAGAGGUGAGUGGAAUUCCUGGUGUAGCGGUGAAAUGCGUAGAUAUCUGGAGGAACACCGGUGGCGAAGGCGGCAUCCUGGACCGGCAUUGACGCUGAGGCGCGAAAGCUAGGGGAGCAAACGGG
rnacentral:rRNA from 1 species